rnacentral:tRNA from 1 species
CCCUGGCUGGCUCGCUUGGUAGAGCAUGAGACUCUUGAUCUUGGGAUCGUGAGUUCGAGCCCCAUGUUGGGGA